GAUGAACGCUAGCGGCAGGCUUAAUACAUGCAAGUCGAGGGGCAGCACAGUGGAGCAAUACAUGGGCGGCGACCGGCAAACGGGUGCGGAACACGUACGCAACCUUCCUUUAAGUGGGGGAUAGCCCAGGGAAACUUGGAUUAAUACCCCGUAAUAUUAUGAAGUGGCAUCACUUUAUACUUAUAGCUCCGGCGCUUAAAGAUGGGCGUGCGACUGAUUAGGUAGUUGGCGGGGUAACGGCCCACCAAGCCUGCGAUCAGUAACUGGUGUGAGAGCACGACCAGUCACACGGGCACUGAGACACGGGCCCGACUCCUACGGGAGGCAGCAGUAAGGAAUAUUGGUCAAUGGACGCAAGUCUGAACCAGCCAUGCCGCGUGGAGGAUGAAGGUCCUCUGGAUUGUAAACUUCUUUUAUUUGGGAGGAAACCCACUGUUUCUACGGUGGUUGACGGUACCAGAUGAAUAAGCACCGGCUAACUCCGUGCCAGCCGCCGAAGUAA
rnacentral:rRNA from 1 species